rnacentral:rRNA from 1 species
AGGGCACCACCAGGAGUGGAGCCUGCGGCUUAAUUUGACUCAACACGGGGAAACUUACCUGGUCCUGACACUAGAAGGAUUGACGGAUUGAUAGCUCUUUCUUGAUUUGGUGGAUGGUGGUGCAUGGCCGUUCUUAGUUGGUGGAGUGAUUUGUCUGGUUAAUUCCGAUAACGGACGGGACUCUAGCCUAUUAAAUAACACGCAGAAUCUUGUCUUCUGCGGUGUUUCUUAAUGGGAUCAAGUGUGUUUAACGCUUUGAGACAGAGCAAUAACAGGUCUGUGAUGCCCUUAGAUGUUCGGGGCUGCACGCGCGCUACAUUGAAAGACAAAAUGAGCCUUCCAGUUUUUAAUAAAGCUAGUAAUCUUUGAAUGUUUUUCUUAAUGGGGAUAGGGGAUUGCAAUUGUGCCCCUUGAACGAGGAAUUCCCAGUAAGUGCUAAUCAUUAGUUAGUACUGAUUACGUCCCUGCCCUUUGUACACACCGCCCGUCGCUACUACCGAUUGAAUGGUUUAGUGAGAU